UCCGUGCCCAGAGCUCUGGCGGGGGUGGGAGGGGCGGAGCCGCCGUUCCCCCGGCCUGGGGACAGUGACGUGGCCCCACUUCCCACCUUCGCCGAGCGCCCGGGGAGGAAGGACUUGGCCGGGAGUGGCGCCCAGCUCGGGGUGGGGGGUGCCAAGUGAGGGCGGGGCCUGCCACCCCGCCCCUCGCUUCUCGUCCCUAACCGUUCCCGAGUUCAUUGUCUGGGGCCGGCAGGGGUUGCGCUACGGAUCACGAUCUGCGCGACACUGCCUGACUUCCCCACAUUUUCGUCGCCAUUGGCACAGGCGGCGUGGGGAAGGGGGUCUCUGCCAGCUGGCCGGGGGUCCCUGGGGCCUGGGAGCGCCCAGUGUGGGCGUGGCCGGGGCUGCUUUCGCGAGAGGGAGGCUGCCCCCGGGAGCUGCGCACCUGCUCCUGGGUCCCUCCCGCCCUGGCUGGCGCGCAAUCCGGGCUUGAUCCAGGCCCCGGAGGUCUGCGCUCAGAAGCCAGGAACCCGCCUUUCCGCACCAAAGGUACCGAAAAGUUGCCUCAAAGCAGCGCUGGACUCAAUUUCACUUCCCGCCCCACCGCAGCGCCCUUCGCCCUUAGUCCUGCGGUGGUCCCGGACGCCUUCAGCAGGGCCGCUCUCUUUCCCGCAAGUCCCGCCUCCUCAUCCAUUCCUCUCCUGCUUCACCGCCUGGUCCUCCCGCCCGGGGAGCUGUGACCCAUCUUUAAUGAAAUGGUGGUGAACGGUUGGAUCUAGGCAAAAGUGGGAAGUCAGAGAUCUUACUUAUACCAGCAAAAAUGGGUCUCUUUGGGCAAAGCAGAGGAUUACAACCCAGCACGACCGAGCCGCAGCAGAACGGUAGACAAGUCCAACAAGCAAAGGAGAAGAACAUUAUUUCACGGGGAAAAAGAAGGAAGUUGGGCGGAGGGCUUGUUCUGAACAAAAGUCCAUUUAAAGCGAAGCCAGAGUUCAGGGUAAUGACGUUUCCCUUUCUCAUUGCCUGAGUGGCAGAGGUGGUCAGUUUCUUUUAGAAGAUGCCACAUGUGGAUCUUUCCGUUUGGGGGCCUAUAAUUGAUGAUUGUGUCCUGCCGAGGUUCUUCUGCUGGGGUCUGCAACUGACCAUUCUUCCCUGUAAUCCACACGGAGUGGCGGACUGCCCCACCUGCCUCUUUUUCCAGCAUUCCAGGUCCAUUUCAGUGAGGUUUCCUUUCAUUAAUUUUCCUGUUUCCUUCUUUGAGAUCAAGAUCUUUCCUCGAAAGCAUCGUUGACCAAGAGUUAGGUAUUUGGUAUAGACUGGUUUUGUCCCUCAGGGCUUGGGAGGACCCACGCUGGAAGGAAAGUGCAUAGCAAUUGGAAACCACUUCGGACCACAUUUGAGUAACAAGAAGAGUAAGGAGGGAGAACUCUCGGGUGCUUGCCCUCUGAGGUCUGUGUCUUCUCCAGGUUAUGGGCAUUGGAGGUCAUCCUAAAGCGUCAAGCUAGCAUCACCUGAUUGGGGACAUUGUUUUUAUGAAAGACUGAUAGGCAAGUACAGAAUCAAAAGUAACAUGACAAUUUUGAACUGUAUGCUGAUUCUAAACCUGGACGCUGGGUCUGCAGGUAGCCAGCUGAAAAUGUUUCUUGGCUCUUAAUUCCAGUUUAGGGAAGAGAAGUUUCUCCCUAUGAAGGCAAGCCCAGGCUCAUGGAUGGCCCCCGGAAGUCCCUGCUUAAAGUAGGUGCAAGAGCAGAAUAGUGAAUAUUGCACAAGCACAUGGAAAGAACCAAUCCAGUGCACUGGGAAGAAAUAGUAGAGAGAGAUCCCAAGUAGGCAGAGAGGCAGGCGGAGAGAGAGGAGGAAGCAGACUCCCUGCUGAGCAGAGAGCCCGAUGCGGGGCUCGAUCCCAGGACCCUGAGAUCAUGACCUGAGCUGAAGGCAGAGACUUAACCCACUGAGCCACCCAGACGCCCCUCCAAAUCAGCUUUUAAGAGUGAGGGUUGGAAAGAGCCCCUUGUUGUUUCUGGAAGCCCGGACCCUGGGAACUGGGAAUACAUUGGAAAGACCCACCAGACGCGUGGAAGCAACUGGAGUGCUUAAAUUAGUAACAAUGUUAAAAAAAUUUUUUUUAAUGCCCUGGAUCUUUGCAAUAGUAAUAGAAACUAGAAAGUUUUUUGGGGGGGUGGGGCUUCAUUUGCCUGAGUUGGAAAUUGAGAAUUUUACUGGCCUUUCUUUUAGGGGCCUCAUCUCCGACAUGAGCAAGGCGGUCUAAAUCUGG